GCCGAUGUGGUGGAAUUGGUAGACACGUGCGCUUGAGGGGCGUAUGGAGCAAUCCGUGGGAGUUCGAGUCUCCCCAUCGGCA
rnacentral:tRNA from 1 species